UACGGGGGGAGCAAGCGUUGUUCGGAUUUACUGGGCGUAAAGCGCACGCAGGCGGAUGCGCGCGUGGGGUGUGAAAUCUGGCCGCUUAACGGCCAGGCGCCAUCCCAUACGGCGCGUCUGGAGUGAUGCAGAGGUCGGUGGAAUUGCCGGUGUAGUGGUGAAAUGCGUAGAGAUCGGCAGGAACACCCAGGGGGAAACCAGCCGACUGGGCAUCUACUGACGCUGAGGUGCGAGAGCGUGGGGAGCGAACAGG
rnacentral:rRNA from 1 species